AGGCGAGAACAGCGGCGGCGGCGGCGGCGGCAGCGGCGGCGGCGACAGAGCGGGCGCUCGGGCAGACGCCGGACGAAGCCAUGGACUGCACCAAGUGCGUCAAGAAGGUGAAACACCAGCGUGACCUGCGGGUUAAGAUGGUCACUUCGCCUAAGAAGACGAGUCACAUGGUCCGGUUCACCGAGGGCUCCGAGGCGGAGGAGCUCACCCAGCCCGGCCGGUGAGUGAUGCGGAGUAGCUCACGCAGCCGGGCCGGUAAGGGAUACGGAGGAGCUCACCCAGUUCGGCCGGUGAGUGGUA